UGCCAUGGGCUUAGUGGCAGAGCACCUGUCUAGCAUGCAUGAGGCCUUGGGUUAGAUCCCCAGCAUUGGGAA
rnacentral:tRNA from 1 species